GAAAGUAUAGCUCAGUGGUAGAGCAUGUGCUUAGCAUGCAUGAGGUCCUGGGUUCAAUCCCCAGUAUCUCUA
rnacentral:tRNA from 1 species